GGAAGAACGCUGGCGGCAGGCCUACACAUGCAUGUCGAACGGUAGCACAGAGAGCUUGCUCUCGGGUGACGAGUGGCGGACGGGUGAGUAAUGUCUGGGAAACUGCCUGAUGGAGGGGGAUAACUACUGGAAACGGUAGCUAAUACCGCAUAACGUCGCAAGACCAAAGAGGGGGACCUUCGGGCCUCUUGCCAUCAGAUGUGCCCAGAUGGGAUUAGCUUGUAGGCGGGGUAAUGGCCCACCUAGGCGACGAUCCCUAGCUGGUCUGAGAGGAUGACCAGCCACACUGGAACUGAGACACGGUCCAGACUCCUACGGGAGGCAGCAGUGGGGAAUAUUGCACAAUGGGCGCAAGCCUGAUGCAGCCAUGCCGCGUGUGUGAAGAAGGCCUUCGGGUUGUAAAGCACUUUCAGCGGGGAGGAAGGCGGUACGGUUAAUAACCGUGCUGAUUGACGUUACCCGCAGAAGAAGCACCGGCUAACUCCGUGCCAGCAGCCGCGGUAAUACGGAGGGUGCAAGCGUUAAUCGGAAUUACUGGGCGUAAAGCGCACGCAGGCGGUCUGUCAAGUCGGAUGUGAAAUCCCCGGGCUCAACCUGGGAACUGCAUUCGAAACUGGCAGGCUGGAGUCUCGUAGAGGGGAGGUAGAAUUCCAGGUGUAGCGGUGAAAUGCGUAAGAUCUGGAGGAAUACCGGUGGCGAAGCGGCCUUCUUGACGAAGACUGACGCUCAGUGCAAAGCGUGGGGAGCAAACAGGAUUAAAUACCCUGGUAUUCACGCUGUAAC
rnacentral:rRNA from 1 species